rnacentral:lncRNA from 1 species
UACUAUAAUACGACCUAUGAAUGCUAAACCGUUGGAUCAUGGGUGCCGAGGCGCUGAUUACAUUGGCAAGCCGCUUGGGAGCGUAAGGUUAGACGUUAAGAGUGAAGAUACAAAAUUGUUGGCGUUAUCCACCGUUCAUUUAUGUUGAUAGGGAAAUCCAAGGGCCCAUCGUUAUCAGAAAGCACCCUGUCCUUGCUAUAAGACAAGUACACGCGAGUACGUUGAUAAGGGUGGCAAUUUUCUACGUAUUCCUCAACGUAGGCUCAAAAAAUCACAACCUUUUGAUUGGUGGACCGUGAGAGAACGAACAUGCCCCAAAAAAUAUGUUACAUGUGAUUAAUAGAGUGGAGAUAUUUGAAGAUAACCUUUUUCUUUUUAA